ensembl:lncRNA
CACAAAACCAUUCUUAGUAUCUUUACACAAAGGCAGCAUGCUACAGGCUGAAUGCCAACCCAAUCAGAUUCAUCAUUCCUCCUUACUUGACCCGUAAGACACACCUCAGUUUAUAGGAAUAAUGAUGUUAAGAUUGAUGUUGAUUAAACAUAGCAAAACAUUUUUGUUAUAUACAGUUUCCAAAGUGCCGUGCUGCUUGAGCUCACCUGUGUUGGUUGACCUUGGAAGUGCUUGAGUCACGGGCAGUUCUAGCUGUAGUCUAAACAACCAUCUUAAAUCACAUAUGUUGUCAUGUUCUCAUUAUCUGGACUUUAUACUUUCCUACCAUGGAAAGGUUUUCACAUAAAUCAUACAGGAAAUGAAGGAAAAUGUAAUUACAGUGUCCAACAUCACCAAGGCAGAUAGAUAGCACGAGGCACAGAAGAGAGUUCAACAGUCAGCUUUCAAUAAAUGCCACCAGGUAGGAAGGAUCCGAGUGCAGCAUGCAUCACUAAGCCACCUGCUUCAGAAUUAUAUCAUUAUCUCAUCACAGGAAUAAGGGGUUAUAAGGUUAUGGCAGUUUCAAACAAUCAGCUUUAAGCAGAUUUCUCAAAGGGACUUCCAUUUUUUACUUUUGCACAUCUUCAUUUGGACUUUAACGUAUACUAGAAAAUUCUAUUUUGUCACAUUAAAUUGAGUUAUCUCAAUGAAAACAUUUCUACUAAGGUUAACCUGGAUGUUUAAUUCCAUUAGCACCCUCAGUUUUUCAACAUAACAAGUUUUCUCAUAAUAGCUUUUUAUUCUCAAAAGGAAAAGACACAGCUAUAGAGCUUUUGAGUAUUCUGAUGUGAUUGAGCUGAAGAGAUGAAAGCUACAAUAACGAACAAAAUCACAUCUUUGCCCUUGAUUUCAGCGGAUGAUAAAUCAGGCCCAUAGCCUUUGCAUUAAAUGUCCGUAACCUUUCCAGACGGGAGCACAGAACACCAUCACGUUUUCAAGGGGAGAUGCUUUCUUAAUUCUUUUUUACAGGAUAAAAGUCUUGGGAUUUUGGCUUGUUUGGAUAUGGGGGAAUCCUCAUUUUAUCAGCAAAAGGAUUUUCCUUUGAGGCUUCACUUCCAUUAUCACACAAUGAAUCUUCUGACAUCAGAAACACAGAUGUUCACUUAAGUCUGCACAAAUGCCAAAAGCUCUUUGUCUUAAUAUCCAUUCUGGAAGGACUUCUUUGUUAAUGAGGACAGAUUAGCAACUGAUUAAGUAAUGUUCCUGCAUCUGCUGCUGCUCCUUCAAUGUGGUCCAAGUUAAGUGCUAUAUGAAAUGAGUCUGGAAGAAAGCAAAGUAUAUAAUGAGCUUCAUACAGACAGAAACCCGGUGAGGAAACAGAGUGAGAAUGGUGUGCUGCUAUGGUUUGUAAAUGUAACAGUAUGUAUCUGAAGUUGAUGGGUCUGGCUAUGGAAAGUAGACCCAGCGCCCCUACAUCUGUAUGCAGCAGUAGGCUAAGCGCAACCGUCAUGCUGGAAUUUUG